rnacentral:rRNA from 1 species
GACGAACGCUGGCGGCGUGCUUAACACAUGCAAGUCGAACGGAAAGGCCCUGCUUUUGUGGGGUGCUCGAGUGGCGAACGGGUGAGUAACACGUGAGUAACCUGCCCUUGACUUUGGGAUAACUUCAGGAAACUGGGGCUAAUACCGGAUAGGAGCUCCUGCUGCAUGGUGGGGGUUGGAAAGUUUCGGCGGUUGGGGAUGGACUCGCGGCUUAUCAGCUUGUUGGUGGGGUAGUGGCUUACCAAGGCUUUGACGGGUAGCCGGCCUGAGAGGGUGACCGGCCACAUUGGGACUGAGAUACGGCCCAGACUCCUACGGGAGGCAGGAGUGGGGAAUAUUGCACAAUGGGCGGAAGGCUGAUGCAGCAACGCCGCGUGCGGGAUGACGGCCUUCGGGUUGUAAACCGCUUUCGCCUGUGACGAAGCGUGAGUGACGGUAAUGGGUAAAGAAGCACCGGCUAACUACGU